AUUGAACGCUGGCGGCAUGCCUUACACAUGCAAGUCGAACGGUAACAGGUUAAGCUGACGAGUGGCGAACGGGUGAGUAAUGUAUCGGAACGUGCCCAGUCGUGGGGGAUAACUACUAGAAAGAGUGGCUAAUACCGCAUACGACCUGAGGGUGAAAGCGGGGGACCGUAAGGCCUCGCGCGAUUGGAGCGGCCGGUAUCAGAUUACCUAGUUGGUGGGGUAAAAGCCCACCAAGGCGACGAUCUGUAGCUGGUCUGAGAGGACGACCAGCCACACUGGGACUGAGACACGGCCCAGACUCCUACGGGAGGCAGCAGUGGGGAAUUUUGGACAAUGGACGCAAGUCUGAUCCAGCCAUGCCGCGUGCGGGAAGAAGGCCUUCGGGUUGUAAACCGCUUUUGUCAGGGAAGAAACGAGUUUCUCUAAUACAGAGACUUAAUGACGGUACCUGAAGAAUAAGCACCGGCUAACUACGUGCCAGCAGCCGCAGUAAUAC
rnacentral:rRNA from 1 species